rnacentral:rRNA from 1 species
UGAGCAAUCUGCCCUUCUCAUCGGAAUAAGCGUUGGAAACGACGUCUAAUGCCGAAUACGACCUCCUUUCGCAUGAUCGGAGGUGGAAAGCUCCGGCGGAGAAGGAUGAGCUCGCGGCCUAUCAGCUAGUUGGUGUGGGUAAUGGCCCACCAAGGCGACGACGGGUAGCCGGCCUGAGAGGGCGUCCGGCCACACUGGGACUGAGACACGGCCCAGACCCCCUACGGGAGGCAG